UACGUAGGUGGCAAGCGUUGUCCGGAUUUACUGGGCGUAAAGAGCGCGCAGGCGGUCGUUCAAGUCGCGUGUGAAAGCCCCCGGCUCAACUGGGGAGGGUCACGCGAUACUGGUCGACUCGAAGGCAGGAGAGGGUAGUGGAAUUCCCGGUGUAGUGGUGAAAUGCGUAGAUAUUGGGAGGAACACCAGUGGCGAAGGCGGCUCACUGGACCGGUACUGACGCUGAGGCGCGAAAGCGUGGGGAGCAAACAGG
rnacentral:rRNA from 1 species